UGGGGAAUUGUUCGCAAUGGGCGCAAGCCUGACGACGCAACGCCGCGUGGAGGAUGAAGUAUUUCGGUAUGUAAACUUCGAAAGAAUAGGAAGAAUAAAUGACGGUACUAUUUAUAAGGUCCGGCUAACUACGUGCCAGCAGCCGCGGUAAUACGUAGGGACCAAGCGUUGUUCGGAUUUACUGGGCGUAAAGGGCGCGUAGGCGGCAAUUCAAGUCAUCUGUGAAAUCUCCGGGCUUAACUCGGAACGGUCAGAUGAUACUGCUUUGCUAGAGUGCAGAAGGGGCAAUCGGAAUUCUUGGUGUAGCGGUGAAAUGCGUAGAUAUCAAGAGGAACACCUGAGGUGAAGACGGGUUGCUGGGCUGACACUGACGCUGAGGCGCGAAAGCCAGGGGAGCAAACGGGAUUAGAUACCCUCGUAGUCCCUGAGCGGGCUGGCAAGGCGCAU
rnacentral:rRNA from 1 species